AGCCCGCCACGGAGGUGACCGUGGAAUCUGUGGGCACCACCGCAGGAACCAGUGGCCUUUCACGUGAAGGAGCACUGCAGCAGCCAGGAGUGGGCCCUGUUGAGCCACUGCCCAGAAGCCCUCCAGCCACUGCACAGCCUGCAGCUGGCCCUGGCGGAGUGAGAACCAGCUACCAACCCCGGGUGCAGCGCCGGUCGCGAGGCCCUCGUCGGGCGUCCCACCGGGACGCCUUGGUCGAACGGCUCGCAGAUGACUACGCCAGGACCGUCGCACAGAACGACGAGACAAACGAACUCCUGCGUGGUAUCCGCCAGGGCGUAGACCGGCUGGCUGCAGCUACUGAGCGGGUCGUGGCUGCUGUGGAGCGGCAGGCCGACCAAGUAGCGGAGGCACUGCGGCCAGUGGGGCAGCUCUUGGGCCAGCUGAUGCAGGAGGCAGUGGCUGC